GGUGGCUCAGUGGUAGAGUACUUGCCUCAUAUGCAUAAAGCCCUGGGUUCGAUUCCUCAGCACCA
rnacentral:tRNA from 1 species